GACGAACCGUGCGAACGUUGUUCGGAAUCACUGGGCUUAAAGGGCGCGUAGGCGGCUUGUCAAGUCAGGGGUGAAAUCUUUCGGCUUAACCGGAAAAGUGCCCUUGAUACUGACAGGCUCGAGGGAGGUAGGGGCAUGUGGAACUUCUGGUGGAGCGGUGAAAUGCGUUGAUAUCAGAAGGAACGCCGGUGGCGAAAGCGACGUGCUGGAUCUCUUCUGACGCUGAGGCGCGAAAGCUAGGGGAGCAAACGGG
rnacentral:rRNA from 1 species